rnacentral:tRNA from 1 species
AUCUUUCUAGUAUAAAACUAUUACGAGUGGCUUCCAACUACUUAAUCUUGGCUAAACCCCAAGGAAAGAUA